AUAGGAAUGGGAAAGGAAAUGGAAAUUAUCGAGGAGGAAACAGUCAGGGGCACAACAAUAGGAGUCAAUCCGUGAGAAUGUAUCACUGCAAGAGGUGCAACAAUAAUCACCCUGGUAAGAAUUGCAAAGGAGAAUUAGUGACCUGCAACUAUUGUCAGAAAAGGGGGCAUAGGGAGUAUGAGUGCUUCACUAAGCACAGAAAGGAACAAAAUAGUAGUGGAGAUGGGAACCAAGUGAGAUUUAACCAGUCUGGAGGUCAAAAUUCAAAGCCUGGAGGGGCACAAAACAAUCAAGAGAACUAUAAUAAACCUGCAAAUGAUAACAACAACCAGAAUAAGGCUCCGGGAAAACCGUUCAUGAUGACUAGAAAUGAAGCUGAACAUUCUGCAGACGUAGUUCAUGGUACUUUUUCUAUUAACUCCGUGCUAGUUAAAACAUUAUUUGAUUCGGGAGCAACCUAUUCUUUCGUUUUGUCAUAUGUUAUUAAGAGUCUGAAGUUAGUAGAUUUUGAAAUGAUUGAUUUACCUGUUAGUAUACCUACUGGUGUAACCUUAAGGUGUACCAAGUUAUUUAAGAACUUUCCUUUGAAGAUAAAAGAUUGCGUUUCUGACUUGAUAGAGUUUAAUGGGAAACCUAGAUGUAAUUCUGGGAAUGGAUUGGCCAAGUUUUUACAAGGCUAAGGUAGAUUGUGAAAUUCCGAAAGUAAGUUUAAGGAACCCUAUGGGAAGGUUGACCUCAUGUGAAUGUUUUGAGAAGUCCAAGAACCUUUAAGUGAUUUCUAUAAUGCAAGUGAGGAAAUUGAUGAAUAGAGAGUGUGAACUAUUUUUCUGUAUUGUGCUAGAUGUGAGUAAAGAAGUUGGAGUGAAGAUCGAGGAUGUUCCCAUGGUGAAUGAAUUCGUUGGUGUGUUUCCGAGUGAAAUUGCGAGUACGUCACCAGCUAGAGCCCUUGAGUUCACAAUAGAGUUGAAUCCCGGACCGACACCUAUACCCAGAGCACUUGAUAGAAUGACACCUCCUGGAAUGAGUGAAUUGAAGACAUAGUUUCAAGAAUUGUUCGAUGAGGGGUAUAUUAGGCCUAAUGCAUCACCACGAAGAGCCCUGGUGUUGUUUAUUAAGAAGAAAGAUGAGAGUGUGAGAUUGGGUAUCGAUUUUAGGGAGCUAAGCAAUGCAACCAUCAAGACCAAGCAUCCUUUGCCUAGGAUAGAUGACAUAUUGGAUCAAUUGAAUUGGACGAGUGUGUUCUCGAAGACUGAUUUGCGUUUAAAGUACCACCAAUUGAGAAUAGCUGAUAAGGGCCUAAGACCUCAUUAGGAUUCGUCAUUGUCAUUAUGGGUUUAGAGUAACGUCUUUUGGGUUAACCAAUGCACCUGCAUUAAUUAUGGAUUUGAUGAAUGAGAUUUUCUACGAAUUCCGAAUUUAGUUCGUUAUGAUGUUAUUGAUGAUAUCCCUAUUUAUGCAUAGAAUGAGAAAGAGCAUGACAAACACUUGAGGAUUACUUGGAGACGCCUAGGAAAAAUCUAGUUUUAUUAAAUGAAGUAUACAAAUCUUGAAGUCAUAUGUGUAUAGUGACACCGACGGAAAAGUUAAGGACUAAAUUAAUUGAGAACUAUGUUACGUAAGGGAUUAAAUUUAAGAGAAGAUUUGAGUGGUCCAGGAUCGUUAGAAUCAUUGUUGUCUGGAAAAGAUGAAAAGAAAUAUAUGAAUUGGUGCAAGAGCUAAGAGUUAAGCCCAAAAGUUAUACACCCAUGAAAAGUGUAAUGAGGUUCGGUAACAACGAAAAGUUGAACAGAAGGAGUUUAUAUAGAUCAUGCUAAGAUUCAAGCUGUGAGUGAGUGACCUACUCCAAAGAACGUGUCUGAUACUUGAAGUUUUCUAAGCCUAGAUGACCAUUAUAGGAGGUUGUGAAAGACUUUUCGAAGAGAACAAAACCAUUGACCAACUUGUUGAAAGAAGAAUCGAAAUUCGAGUGGAGUGAGAAAUGUGAGAAAGCUUUCUAGAUUUUAAAAGAGCGUUUGACCUCCGCACCUGUUGUCGCGUCAAUUGAAACUUUAUGAAACCAAUUACCCUACCCAUGACCUAAAGCUAGCUGCUAGUGCGUUUGUUUUGAAGAUUUAAAGACAUUAUCUUUAUGGGAAAACAUUUGAGAUUCUUACCGACCAUAAAAGUCUGAAACAUUGGCAAAAAGGUCUAGUGAAUCUUGGGGAUGACAUUGAAAAUGAGUACUACUUUCCACCCUGCGAUUGAUGGACAACUGAGAUUACUAACGGAAUAUAUGUUGAAAGCUUGUGUUAUUGACUUUAAGGGUAAUUGGAAAAAUCACCUAGGUUCGAUUGAAUUUUCGUGCAUCAAUGGUUACCAUGCAAGCAUUACGAUGUCACAUGUUGAGGCACUGUAUGGAAAGAAUUGUAGAAGUCUUACUUAUUAGAAUGAGAUUAGUGAGAAUAUUGUAUUGAGGACAUAAUUCGUUGAGGAAGAAAUACCCAAAGUUAUUCCCUGAGAUGAGUUACGAGGGCGUAACUCGUUUUCUUUAAGAGGGGUAGAAUGCGAUAGAAAUUCGCGCUUUUUACCUAUUUUUAUAGUAUUUUUAUGCAUUUUAUGCUUAUUUUUAGCAACUUAUAUAUGUUGAUGCAAGUAAAUAGAUUCUCCGCAUAAGAAAAUGUGUUUUUGAGUAUUACAAGUAACUCUUAGUUGGCAAAAUAAUGCACAAGAGUGGCACAAAGUACUUCUACAAUAAGAAUAAGUUGAAAAGUUUGGAAAAAUACGUGAAUUUUCGUGUCAAGUUUCGGGGCGAAACUUCUUUUAAGAGGGGUAGAUUGUAAUCCCCCGUAAUUUUAUACAUUUCAUUUAUAUAUUUUACCGUAUAUUUAAUAUAUUUAAAUAAGAAUUUAUGAAUUUUGGAAAUAAAUAUAUAAUUAACAUAUAUUUAUUUAUUACAUAUUAAUAUUUUCAACGAUUUACGAAAUCGAAAAUGAUUUUAGAAUUUUAAGUAGAAAAGAAUUUGAAUUACGAAAAUUGAUUGAAUUUAGAAAACGAUCCUAUUCAGUUUUGGAUUCGAAUCAUAAAAGCUAAAUCCUAAUUCUAGCCCACUUGGGAAAGCCCAAUAUUAAAACCCAAAACUCAAACCCUCCCUUUACUCUAAUUCACGUAAAACAAAAAAAAAAAAAAAUAAACAAAGCCAAAAAACCCCAUUUGAACUUCACGUGAAAACGCAAAAGAGAAAAAAAAAAAAAAAGAAGCAAAACCUAUCUCUCAUUCAAACUCACGUAAACUAGCAAACCCUCAAACCUUGGUACUCUCUGCCCAGCCGCCAGCCACCAUACACCCGCCGGACCUCCACCGUCCUCGUCACAGCCGCCCCAGCCGCCGACCACCUACCGCCGCCGCGACCGCCAGCUGCACGCAGCAACCGAGUCGCGCCACCCUCUCCUUGCUGUCGCCGAGCAGUGCUGCCGCCUCCGGCCGCGCCUCACCGCCUGCCGCCGUCGUCCUCUCUCGUCGGCGGAGAAUUCUCCUUAGGCGACUUUUGAAUUAUUAAAGUGGUCUUGCAGUUUGUUUACACAAGUCUCUAAGGAUCAAUAAGCGUUGCCCAUCUACAGGUUUGAAGAUGAUGCAUCAUUGGGAUCGGGAUUAGAGAGCUUGUAGUUAUAUUUGUUUUAUUAAGUGAUUUGGGUUGUUAACUUAUAUUUGAAAGUUGUCGUACUAUUCGUAUUUCCUUAUUUCCGUUAAUUGGUUUUGGACUUAGUAUGUAAUCGAUUAUUUAUGAACCUAAAAGUUAGUUUUAUGUUUUCCGCUGCAAAAUUCUGAAUAAGCCGUACGUUUUCAC